AAGUCGACCUUUUCUAAGAAAGUGCGAGCGCACUGAAGGUUCGCGGGGGGUUUAACGUUGGAUACGUGUUAGCAAUCCCUGGUAAAUCAUUGCCGAACAGUUUUGAUUCAGGGACUUCUGCGUAGACUGUGCUUGAGCGUGAGGCAAGUGGCCUGGCAUUCCUCUGCUUGUUGGUGUCUGAAAGUGUCACCAGCUCUGUACGAAUGGCGCAGUCACGAUCGCUAGAGGCCGACACGGCCGGCGACCGGGUCACUGGGCGCGAGCCCCCCUCGUCACCUUUGCAUGAAAACGGGCCUGCGCUUAAUUGUGCGGCCACCAAACUCGAACAACUGUUAACAAUGGAUAUCUUGGUUCUC
rnacentral:misc_RNA from 1 species